rnacentral:misc_RNA from 1 species
CCAGGAUACAAGUAUAUUGUGGAAAACUUGAAAAAUAUUUCAAGAAGACAACACUUUGGCAUCUGUAAUCCCUGGAAUUGAUGUUAAAACCAAUGUGAACAAUGUGCUGGUUACAUGGGAAACCAACAAAACCUCAUAAUAUAUGCAAAAGAAAGAAAAGCAGCAGCUGCUGCUGCUGUUAUCAUUCAGAGAUUAGUUAUAACCUCCAGAAAGACUACAUUUACCUUUUUCAAAAAGUUUUAAAGUCUAGAGCACAACGAAAGAUCACAAGUAUCCUGCGAUCAAUGCAACCAAGAUGCCCUGAAAGUGUCAUCCCUUUUCCUAGGCAACAUCAUACAUUGCUAAUCAAAAUUCAGGCCUCAUCUUCAGCUUCCCCAUUAUUCAUCGCUUCAUACAAAUAUUCCUGAGCUUCUUCAAGUGCAGAUUCCUUAGCAUCAGCAGCAUACAAUAUCUUCUUGAUUGCAACAGCCAUUGGUAGAUCCUCCAAUUCAGGAGUUUGACAAAGUAACUCUAUAUCCCUUAAUUUUGCAAAGUAAAAAUCUCUUUCCUUCUCUAGAUGCUCCACAGAAAGCUUGAGAUCAGUGAUCUCCUUGGACAAAGUCUCGAUCUCCACUGAAGAAUUAACCCCACCUGCCACAGCACUUCCCCUCCCUUGCUUUGGUCCGGACAUUUUACUCAGGCCAAAUGGGUCGCCAGAGGCAGAAUUGUGCAUAUUGUUCGAUUGCAGUGAUUUUGCAGUCUUCAAACUACCCUUGGAGCUACGGUCCUUUCCACCCUUAAUUCUCCGUUCCACAGGGUUAUAGUUCCUAUAAGAAACAUUAAAUAAGCAAUAAUAUAUGUUCAAGGUUAAGAUAAUACCAAAAAAUUAUGGUUAAAGAAUACAACAUAAUGUAAAGAUGACAAUGCAAAAGAAAGCAACAAACUCAUUCAUGAUGCCACCAUUUACAGAAUCACAGUAUCGUUUCAACCACUGUAAGAACUCUAAGUUGUCCAAAGGUCGGCUUUUAACAAGCUUGUUAACUUCGAUAUGCUUUUCAAUUUUCAAUUUGUUGAAUACGUCCUGCAGAACCUUGUAAUUUUGGAUCAUAUCAUAUUCUGUUUUUGCAUCAAAAUUCACCUUGUGCAUGGGAACAACUCCUGGAUAAGUCAUAUCCAUCAUUUGACACUGCACAGCACCAGAUGCACCCUCCUCAAUGCGAGUGAGAUUGAGCUGAAGCCUGUUGUUGAUCCACGUCAAUAUCUCAUUCCUUCCAACAAAAUACGCACUAUCCAUCAUCCCUAUAUUCGAAGCCAUUUCUUCUUUGUUUUGUUACUUUUCUGUGCUUCUCUGCCCCUUCUCUUACUCUCUCUAUCCCACAAACAAAAGCAAAAAACUAUAAACAAACAAAAAAAAUAAAACCCAAAUUUUGUCUCUUCCUAUAAUACUGAACUCAAGAAGGACAAAACUUGAACAAACACAAAGCGAGAAAGAAGAAGAAGAAGAAG